GAUGAACGCUGGCGGCGUGCCUAAUACAUGCAAGUCGAGCGAACAGAUGAGGAGCUUGCUCCUCUGACGUUAGCGGCGGACGGGUGAGUAACACGUGGAUAACCUACCUAUAAGACUGGGAUAACUUCGGGAAACCGGAGCUAAUACCGGAUAAUAUAUUGAACCGCAUGGUUCAAUAGUGAAAGACGGUUUUGCUGUCACUUAUAGAUUGAUCCGCGCCGCAUUAGCUAGUUGGUAAGGUAACGGCUUACCAAGGCAACGAUGCGUAGCCGACCUGAGAGGGUGAUCGGCCACACUGGAACUGAGACACGGUCCAGACUCCUACGGGAGGCAGCAGUAGGGAAUCUUCCGCAAUGGGCGAAAGCCUGACGGAGCAACGCCGCGUGAGUGAUGAAGGUCUUCGGAUCGUAAAACUCUGUUAUUAGGGAAGAACAAAUGUGUAAGUAACUAUGCACGUCUUGACGGUACCUAAUCAGAAAGCCACGGCUAACUACGUG
rnacentral:rRNA from 1 species